rnacentral:lncRNA from 1 species
UCAUAUGCCUCCACAUGCAUAUAUAUUAUCAAAAAAUUAGACUUUUCAUGAUGUGCUUUUCUUAGUCCAAAACGUACGGCAUUGAUACCACUUAACCCCGCGUUAUCCCUCGGUUGCGUCUCUCUUUGCAUCUCCUUCUCCAACCAAACAAAAAGCUGUGCAGCAACAAAAGAAGCAGAGCAACAAUGGCAUCUCGCGAGAGAUCUCCAUCGACUUGGAAGUCUCUCUUGCUCCUCGCGGUUCUAACUUUAGCAGUCGCGACGGAGGGACGGUGUGCGAGAAUCGGGAAGGCUAGGAAUGGAGGAGGUUCUUGGAAAUACUUGUGGGAAAGCAAGCUCUCAAGGGGGCCGGUGCCUCCUUCCGGGCCUUCUAAGUGUCACCAUAAGCUCAGCCCAUUUCGCGGCAGCUCGGCCUCCUCCACAGCUGGCUAUGUUAACUGUCCCUAACUUUCUAUGUACAAACCUCUUCUUUGAAUACUUACUCUUGGUUUUGUUCUUCUUCUUCUUUUCAUGGUCGAUGUUCUUUGUUCUUUUGCAUCUUCCCAGCUGUGGAAGAGAAGCUUGUUCGUUCUUGUUUUCUUUUCUUUUCUGUUUUUGUUUUUCGCCUCAAGGUUUUGCACAUUCACAAACGGAUUCGUGCGCUGAGGUUUUGUAGGUAGACUGUAUUCAGAAUCAGAGUGCUUUAGAUGUUGCAACGAGAAACUCCUUACAACCCUGUUUCUUGGCCAAUUUUGUAUGUGAUUUCUUGCGCCCGUGUUUACUAGCUAUCCCUAACUGAAUAAAGCAUAGAGCUAUAUCUGUUUAUUGUGAGAACAUGAGUGCAAUUUUGUCAAAAGGUGUGUGUUAUUAGUAUUACAGCAUUCUCCAUGAACGAAUAAAGCAUAUAUGGACCGACU